UUACUAUGUUUACCAAAAAAU
rnacentral:piRNA from 1 species